rnacentral:rRNA from 1 species
GACAGAGGGUGCAAACGUUGUUCGGAAUUACUGGGCGUAAAGCGAGUGUAGGCGGUUCGGUAAGUCGGAUGUGAAAGCCCCGGGCUCAACCCGGGAAGUGCACUCGAUACUGCCGAGCUAGAGUAUCGGAGAGGUUGGUGGAAUUCUCGGUGUAGAGGUGAAAUUCGUAGAUAUCGAGAGGAACACCGGUGGCGAAGGCGGCUCUCUGGGUCGGACCUGACGCUGAGGCGCGAAAGCGUGGGGAGCGAACGGG